AUUGAACGCUGGCGGCAUGCCUUACACAUGCAAGUCGAACGGUAACGCGGGGCAACCUGGCGACGAGUGGCGAACGGGUGAGUACUGUAUCGGAACGUGCCCAAUAGUGGGGGAUAGCCCGGCGAAAGCGGGACUAAUACCGCAUGAGACCUGAGGGGGAAAGCGAGGGAUCGCACGACGUCGCGCCGUUGGAGCGGCCGAUAGCAGAUUAGGUAGUUGGUGGGGUAAAGGCCUACCAAGCCUGCGAUCUGUAGCUGGUUUGAGAGGAUGACCAGCCACACUGGGACUGAGACACGGCCCAGACUCCUACGGGAGGCAGCAGUGGGGAAUUUUGGACAAUGGGCGCAAGCCUGAUCCAGCCAUGCCGCGUGCGGGAAGAAGGCCUUCGGGUUGUAAACCGCUUAUGUCAGGGAAGAAAUCUUCUGGGUUAAUACCUCGGGAGGAUGACGGUACCUGAAGAAUAAGCACCGGCUAACUACGUGCCAGCCGCCGCCGUAA
rnacentral:rRNA from 1 species